GAGUGUUUCCCAUGUAUACCAUAGCGAUUUUCAACAAGCACUGUGCGACCUGAUCUCCUCUGAAAACUCUCUCCGAAACUAUCUCCACCAAAACUCCACAAAACCCUAUCUCCGCCCGAAACCCUUCAUCACGAAGGGGUCUCGCCGCCACUCCUCCAAAACUCAAUGACGUAGCUUUCUCCACCAAUCCUCCACGCCACCCGCGACCUAGCUUCCUUCGCACAAAGGGGUCUCGCCGUUCCUUGCAGAGAUGUCGUUCCUCGCCUCAGCGUCGUCCUUCGCACAAAGGGGUCUCGCCGUUCUAGGAGAUUGGGUUGGAGAAGAUCCAGAAAAUCAUAGACGACAUGAUCGCUUGCAUGAGAAAGGUUCCUGGCGUAGGCCUCGCGGUUCCUCAGAUUGGCGUACCAUUGAAGAUUAUUGUUCUUGAAGAUAUGAAAGAGUACAUUAGUUAUGCUCCUAAGAAUGGAAUUAAAGCUCAAGAUUGUCACCCCUUUGAUCUUUUGGUUUUUAUCAAUCCAAAGAUUAAAAACAAGAGCCACAAAACCGCAUUGUUUUUUGAAGGAUGUUAGAGGUAAAUUGUUCAUUAUUUAACUAAUAAUACAGUAAGACAUCCUUUUCUAUUCUGUUAAAAUUUUGAUAUACUUUCUUUCAUCUGCUUGGACACUUCUUCAUUAUGUCAAUUGCCACCCUUAACAGCUUUUAAGAUCUUUGUAGUUGGACUGAUGGUGAUCUCCAACAAGCAAUUUAUUAAAAACAAACUGUAAGAAAUAUAUUUUUCUAUAUGAUUUUCUAUUACUAUCUUAUUAUGGAUAUAUUUAUGGUAUAUAGCUAGAUAUGGAUAAUUUGGAUAGUUUUUUUUUCUUCUAUUAUUGUGAUUUAUUUAGGUUUUAUUUGUUUUAGAUGCCAAUGAUUAUUGGAUAUUAAAUCUUCUAGUUGUUUCCAUAAUUUAGUAUGUUUGUUUAUAUGAAUAUUUGUUUAUUUAUGUUUGUAAUAUUAGGUAUUAUAAGAAAUGUAUGUAUGUAUUGUUAAGAUGUAUGAAAUAUAUAUUUAUG